GACGAACGCUGGCGGCGUGCUUAACACAUGCAAGUCGAACGGAAAGGCCCUGCUUUUGUGGGGUGCUCGAGUGGCGAACGGGUGAGUAACACGUGAGUAACCUGCCCUUGACUUUGGGAUAACUUCAGGAAACUGGGGCUAAUACCGGAUAGGAGCUCCUGCUGCAUGGUGGGGGUUGGAAAGUUUCGGCGGUUGGGGAUGGACUCGCGGCUUAUCAGCUUGUUGGUGGGGUAGCGGCUUACCAAGGCUUUGACGGGUAGCCGGCCUGAGAGGGUGACUGGCCACAUUGGGACUGAGAUACGGCCCAGACUCCUACGGGAGGCAGCAGUGGGGAAUAUUGCACAAUGGGCGGAAGCCUGAUGCAGCAACGCCGCGUGCGGGAUGACGGCCUUCGGGUUGUAAACCGCUUUCGCCUGUGACGAAGCGUGAGUGACGGUAAUGGGUAAAGAAGCACCGGCUAACUACGUG
rnacentral:rRNA from 1 species